UACGUGAGAUUUCAGAGGCUAGACAUACGGGCCUGUCGAGCCCGUGCCCCGGGUUCAAAUCCCGGCCAGGGCGCCA
rnacentral:tRNA from 1 species